CAAAAACAUCGCCUCUUGACUUUUAUAAGAGGUCCAGCCUGCCCAGUGACCAUGUUCAACGGCCGCGGUAUCCUAACCGUGCGAAGGUAGCGUAAUCACUUGUUCUUUAAAUGUGGACUAGUAUGAAUGGCACCACGAGGGUUAUACUGUCUCCUUUUUCUAAUCAGUGAAACUAAUCUCCCCGUGAAGAAGCGGGAAUACAUCUAUAAGACGAGAAGACCCUAUGGAGCUUUAAACAACACAGCAAUUACCUACUGAACUAUAAAUUUCCGAAUACCUUAACCUUUUUAAGUAAUCUGACUGCAAGUUUUUGGUUGGGGUGACCACGGAGCAUAACACAACCUCCAUGCUGAAAGAAUUUUUUCUAAGCUAAGAACAACCUGUCUAAGCAUCAAUAUAUUGACAUCCAUUGACCCAAUACAUUUGACCAACGAACCAAGUUACCCUAGGGAUAACAGCGCAAUCCACUUCAAGAGCUCCUAUCGACAAGUGGGUUUACGACCUCGAUGUUGGAUCAGGGUAUCCCAGUGGUGCAGCCGCUACUAAAGGUUCGUUUGUUCAACGAUUAAAACCCUACGUGAUCUGAG
rnacentral:rRNA from 1 species